GACGAACGCUGGCGGCGUGCCUAAUACAUGCAAGUCGAGCGGACAGAAUGGGAGCUUGCUCUUGUUCGGUCAGCGGCGGACGGGUGAGUAACACGUGAGCAACCUGCCCGCAAGAUCGGGAUAACUCCGGGAAACCGGAGCUAAUACCGGAUAACACCGAAGACCGCAUGGUCUUUGGUUGAAAGGCGGCGCUAGGUGCUACUUGCGGAUGGGCCCGCGGCGCAUUAGCGAGUUGGUGAGGUCGCGGCUCACCAAGGCGACGAUGCGUAGCCGGGCUGAGGGGGUGAGGGGGCACACUGGGAGUGGGACACGGCCCAGAGUCCUAGAGGAGGCAGCGGGGGAGCAGCGGGCGCGAUGGGAGAAAGCGUGAGGGCGCGACGCCGCGUGGGCGAGGAAGGGCUUCGGGUCGUAGGGUUCUGUUGUGAGGGAGGAAGGGGCGCCGUUUGAAGAGGGCGGCGCGGUGACGGUACCGGACAAGGAAGCCCCGGCUAACUACGUG
rnacentral:rRNA from 1 species